rnacentral:rRNA from 1 species
AACCUAAAGAAUUUGGCGGUGUUUUAUUCUAUUCAGAGGAAUUUGUCCCGUAAUCGAUAACCCUCGUUUUAUCUUGCUUAUUCUUAUUUAGUAUGUAUACCGCCGUUAUAAGUUAAUUUUUUUAGAAAUAUUGACUUUAUAAUUUAUUUAUUUUUAUUUCAGGUCAAGGUGCAGUUUAUGAUUAAGUGGAGAUGAAUUACAAUAUUUUUACGUAAAUGGAUAUAAAUUUUAUAAUUUUAUUGAAGGUGGAUUUGAUAGUAAUUUUAAUUAUAUUGUUAUUUUGAUUUUAGUUCUAAAAUGAGUACACAUCGCCCGUCGCUCUA